CCUACGGGAGGCAGCAGUGGGGAAUAUUGCACAAUGGGCGGAAGCCUGAUGCAGCGACGCCGCGUGAGGGAUGACGGCCUUCGGGUUGUAAACCUCUUUCAGCAGGGAAGAAGCGUGAGUGACGGUACCUGCAGAAGAAGCACCGGCUAACUACGUGCCAGCAGCCGCGGUAAU
rnacentral:rRNA from 1 species